UACGUAGGGUGCGAGCGUUGUCCGGAAUUAUUGGGCGUAAAGAGCUCGUAGGCGGUCUGUCGCGUCUGCUGUGAAAACCCGCAGCUCAACUGUGGGCUUGCAGCCGAUACGGGCGGGCUGGAGUUCGGUAGGGGAGACUGGAAUUCCUGGUGUAGCGGUGAAAUGCGCAGAUAUCAGGAGGAACACCGGUGGCGAAGGCGGGUCUCUGGGCCGAUACUGACGCUGAGGAGCGAAAGCGUGGGGAGCGAACAGG
rnacentral:rRNA from 1 species